rnacentral:rRNA from 1 species
CUAGCCGUAAACGAUGGAUACUAGGCAUCGUGAGUAUCGACCCUCACAGUGUCGUAGCUAACGCGUUAAGUAUCCCGCCUGGGGAGUACGCGCGCAAGCGUGAAACUCAAAGGAAUUGACGGGGGCCCGCACAAGCGGUGGAGUAUGUGGUUUAAUUCGAUGCAACGCGAAGAACCUUACCAGGACUUGACAUGUCGCGAAUCUCAGGGAAACUUGAGAGUGCCUUCGGGAGCGCGAACACAGGUGGUGC